UGCCUGUGUUAGCCGGCUACGGCGCGG
rnacentral:sRNA from 1 species